CUGGAUAGGAGACAAGAAGGCAUCUUCUUUUUUUUAAAAGACCUAGCAAUAGGUAUGCUUAGGGAGGAGCUUGCGUCACAUUAGUUAGUUGGUGGGGUAAAGGCCUACCAAGACUAUGAUGUGUAGCCGGGCUGAGAGGUUGAACGGCCACAUUGGGACUGAGACACGGCCCAAACUCCUACGGGAGGCAGCAGUAGGGAAUUUUCGGCAAUGGAGGAAACUCUGACCGAGCAACGCCGCGUGAACGAUGAAGUAUUUCGGUACGUAAAGUUCUUUUAUUAGGGAAGAAUAAAUGAUGGAAAAAUCAUUCUGACGGUACCUAAUGAAUAAGCCCCGGCUAACUAUGUGCCAGCAGCCGCGGUAAUACAUAGGGGGCAAGCGUUAUCCGGAAUUAUUGGGCGUAAAGGGUGCGUAGGCGGUUAAAUAAGUUUAUGGUCUAAGUGCAAUGCUCAACAUUGUGAUGCUAUAAAAACUGUUUAGCUAGAGUAAGAUAGAGGCAAGUGGAAUUCCAUGUGUAGUGGUAAAAUGCGUAAAUAUAUGGAGGAACACCAGUAGCGAAGGCGGCUUGCUGGGUCUUUACUGACGCUGAGUCACGAAAGCGUGGGGAGCAAACAGGAUUAGAUACCCUGGUAGUCCACGCCGUAAACGAUGAGUACUAAACGUUGGGUAAAACCAGUGUUGAAGUUAACACAUUAAGUACUCCGCCUGAGUAGUACGUACGCAAGUAUGAAACUUAAAGGAAUUGACGGGACUCCGCACAAGCGGUGGAUCAUGUUGUUUAAUUCGAAGGUACCCGAAAAACCUCACCAGGUCUUGACAUGCUUCUGCAAAGCUGUAGAAACACAGUGGAGGUUAUCAGUUGCACAGGUGGUGCAUGGUUGUCGUCAGCUCGUGUCGUGAGAUGUUGGGUUAAGUCCCGCAACGAGCGCAACCCUUAUUGUUAGUUACCAGCACGUGAUGGUGGGGACUUUAGCAAGACUGCCAGUGAUAAAUUGGAGGAAGGUGGGGACGACGUCAAAUCAUCAUGCCCCUUAUGACCUGGGCUACAAACGUGAUACAAUGGCUGUUACAAAGGGUAGCUGAAGCGCAAGUUUUUGGCGAAUCUCAAAAAAACAGUCUCAGUUCGGAUUGAAGUCUGCAACUCGACUUCAUGAAGUUGGAAUCGCUAGUAAUCGCGAAUCAGCAUGUCGCGGUGAAUACGUUCUCGGG
rnacentral:rRNA from 1 species